UACGGAGGGAGCUAGCGUUGUUCGGAAUUACUGGGCGUAAAGCGCACGUAGGCGGCUUUGUAAGUUAGAGGUGAAAGCCCGGGGCUCAACUCCGUAACUGCCUUUAAGACUGCAUCGCUUGAAUCCAGGAGAGGUGAGUGGAAUUCCGAGUGUAGAGGUGAAAUUCGUAGAUAUUCGGAAGAACACCAGUGGCGAAGGCGGUUCACUGGACUGGUAUUGACGCUGAGGUGCGAAAGCGUGGGGAGCAAACAGG
rnacentral:rRNA from 1 species